GCGUUUUUUACCACGACUGCCGGCUUUUCUCUCUCUCCCUUCCUCCCUUUCGCUCUCCCCCUUCUUUUUUUUCUGAAUGGGUGUCCUCUCUCUAACCUCUCAAUUCACAGCAGCAUUGAAACAGGACACUAUCCUGAUCACUGAUAGGCUGCGGGCAAAUCGCUCAGCCCCUGAACCGGACACUAUAAGUACUCUGGUAGUCCGUCUCCAGUGUAUGACUGACUGUUUAGUGUGAGAGAGAGUAGGAGGGGGUGGUAGAGAGUUUAAAUUCAGUGACAGUGAUAACAAUGAUAUUAUUCGUUCUCCGCUGAAACGGGGAAGCACUUUCAGAGUCUACGGCGUGCUUCCUCUGUCUCUAUCGCUUUAAGACUGUUACUGAUUAGUCGCUAAAGAAUGCGAGUGGAAAGAGAGAGAAAAAAAAAGAGACAUAGGCAGAAGGGAGAGACAGACUGAGAGCAUUGGAGUCUGGAACUCGUAUGGAGAAGACUGAUAAUACUGAGCUGAGUAGAGUUUUGUUUUUUAUUUUCCAGCAGUACAGAGACGUUAAUGGAGCUCUGACUCUCUUUCGGUGUAUUUGCGGCUCUUGAAGAGGCUGAACGAAGGGGGAAGUCAAGGACCCCGCACAUGCAGGCAGCGCUCAGCCAUGAGGAAAUACUCUUUUCACCCAGACAGAGGUUAUCCAGACAGGCUCAAUCUAUUCAGAUCACAUGAUGCUUCAUUUCAAUAUAGGGAUUCGUCACAUAGAAAAACUAAUGAAGAACUGAAGAAAGCCUGAAGCCCCCCAGAGAACUCGGUUCAUUAAGUCUUCACACAAUCUGAGUACAAUAUUGACAGAAAUACCUUGCAGGAAUGCUGUAGCACAUCUCUCACAGUCCUCGCUUUGUGUUACGUGUC
ensembl:lncRNA